AGCAGUAGCCGCGGUAACACGGAGGGUGCAAGCGUUAAUCGGAAUUACUGGGCGUAAAGCGCACGCAGGCGGUCUGACAAGUCAGAUGUGAAAUCCCCGGGCUUAACCUGGGAACUGCAUUUGAAACUGUCAGGCUGGAGUCUUGUAGAGGGGGGUGGAAUUCCAGGUGUAGCGGUGAAAUGCGUAGAGAUCUGGAGGAAUACCGGUGGCGAAGGCGGCCCCCUGGACAAAGACUGACGCUCAGGUGCGAAAGCGUGGGGAGCAAACAGGAUUAGAUACCCCUGUAGUCCCUGUCUCUUAUAC
rnacentral:rRNA from 1 species